UCAACCUGGUUGAUCCUGCCAGUAGUCAUAUGCUUGUCUCAAAGAUUAACCCAUGCAUGUGUAAGUAUAGUAUCAUACGGCGAAACUGCGAAUGGCUCCUUAAAACAGUUAUAAUUUAUUUGAUGGAUAAAGAUAUGGAUAACCGUAGUAAUUCUAGAGCUAAUACAUGCGUGAAAGCCUGACUCACGAAGGGC
rnacentral:rRNA from 1 species